rnacentral:lncRNA from 13 species
GGCGGCUCCAUUCUUUCUUCUCGCCCACCCCGCUGCCUGGCAUCUAAAGACGAGUGGGCCCCUCCCCAGCCGUGAGCUGGGUGGGGCUCAGGCUGCGGACCCUACUGGGGCCUGGGGAGCGGCCCAACCCGGGUCCUGGAGAGCGGUUGACAUUCUCGAGGAAGUGGCCCUGGAAGAUUAGGGGCGCUGGGCAUCAGAGGAGCGCCUGGUCACUGAGUGCCACUGGGUGGCUCGGGUCGCUGGCCAGCGCUGACCAAGUUUGGGAAGCCUAAGAUGGCAAAUCCCCAACGUCCAAAACUUUGUUGGGGUCCGCUGAGCCUAUGUCCCGGUGUCUUCCUGAAUCCCCUCUACCAUAACUACAUUCUGCCUUCCAGGCUUCAGGAGUAGGCAAAUACAGACGCGGAAUGAAAAUGCUCACUUUGCAAGUGAACGGUGGACACACGUACCCACUGGGACCCGGAGAGGUGGUCCUGGGUGUUAAAACAUCUGAAGAGAGAGAUGGGGAAUCUGGAAAGAAACCGGCUGUGGGAGCGAGGGGAAGGGUUGGGGAAAGAAGGAGGGGUGCAGCCUGAGGAAAGGCGAGUAAAGCAGCUGGCAAGGGCGGGAGGAAGAGGCUGCGCUCAGACCGAGUGGGGGAGAGGCUGGCAGGAGCGAGGAGAGCUGCAGGCGAGAGGGGGAGGCUGCUGGAAGGAAGCACCGGCGAACGCGGGCAGGGGAACUUCAGAGGAGGCUGCCAAAAAGGACUGGAGCUGCAGCAGUGCGAGGCAGUGGACAAGGGGGGCAGCAACCACCAGCCCUUGGCAGCCAGCAGAGGGGAAGAGGAGCCCACGGGAAAGAAAAGCAGGCGAGGUUAAGAAUAAAGAGUGUUCCAGGUAUGACAGCUACCUCGGUGAGGUGGAAGAGAGAAUUGACAAGGCAGAUUUCAUGGAUUAAAGACCUUGAGAUUGUUUUGACCUAUCUGGAUGGACCCUAAAUGUAAUCACAGGUGUUCCUGUAUAUAAGAAAGAGGCAGAGGGAGCUUGGCCUGCAAGGAGGAGCUGCGCGGAUGGAAGCGGACGUUGCCGGAGUGCGAGGACAGGAGCAAGGACUCUCCCCAACAGCCUCCAGGAAGGUCCAGACCUGCCCACACCUUGACUUUGGACUUCCGGCCAUCAGAAUUGGCUCAAGAUUCUGAAGACUGAGAAGUCCAAGAGUAUGGCACCAGCAUCUAGUGGGGGCCUUCAUGCUGUGUUAUCCCAUGGAGGACGCAAGAAGGGCAAAUGAGCAAGAGAGAGACCAACUCAUUUUACAAUACCCCCCCCUUCUUCAUAAUCAGGACUAAUUUUUUAAUGAGACAAAAUAUUCUCAGAACCCUUAAGACUGUUUUUUCUGAAAUUAUGGAUUUUACUUGCAUCCUGACUUCUGGUUUAGAAACUUUUAUAGUUUGAACAGAUUAACUAUCACACACUGAGGUCCAUUGUGGGGAACAAGGGGAGGGAGAGCGGGGAGUGGGUAGUAGGGGAGGGGUAACAUGGGGAGAAAUGCCAGCUAUAGGUGAUGGGGAGGAAGGCAGCAAACCACAUUGCCAUGUAGGUACUUGUGCAACAAUCCUGCAUGUUCUUCACAUGUACCCCAAAACCUAAAAUGCAAUAAAAUAAAAUAAAAUAAAAAUUCUCA